rnacentral:tRNA from 1 species
CGGGGCGUAGCUCAGCCCGGUAGAGUGCAUGGUUUGGGACCAUGUGGCCGCAGGUUCAAAUCCUGCCGCCCCGA